rnacentral:rRNA from 1 species
GCUAACGACAGUUUCUUUACUGAAAACACCGGUUCCCAUCAGAACACCGAAGUUAAACAGUAUAGAGGUGGUUUCGACCACUUGUUGUUGGCU